rnacentral:rRNA from 1 species
GGCGAAAUUGUAGUGCAAGUGAAGAUGCUUGCUACCCGCGAUUGGACGGAAAGACCCCGUAGAGCUUUACUGUAGCUUAGCAUUGAAUCUCGGUAUUGUCUGUACAGGAUAGGUGGGAGACUUGGAAACUUGGGCGUCAGCCUGAGUGGAGUCAUCCUUGGGAUACCACCCUGACAGUACUGGGGUUCUAACCGGCGGCCAUGAAUCUGGUCACGGGACAUUGUUAGGUGGGCAGUUUGACUGGGGCGGUCGCCUCCUAAAAAGUAACGGAGGCGCCCAAAAGUUCCCUCAGCGCGGUCGGAAAUCGCGCGAAGAGUGCAAAGGC